CGCGUAGGCGGUCUGGUCAGUCGGAUGUGAAAGCCCCGGGCUUAACCUGGGAAUUGCACUCGAUACUGCCAGACUAGAAUGUUGGAGAGGGAAGUGGAAUUUCCGGUGUAGCGGUGAAAUGCGUAGAUAUCGGAAGGAACACCAGUGGCGAAGGCGGCUUCCUGGCCAAACAUUGACGCUGAGGUGCGAAAGCGUGGGUAGCGAACA
rnacentral:rRNA from 1 species